GGAAUAGGAAAUUUUAUUCAGAAGGUACCAUAUCACACUACAAUGGAGCAUCACUCUGAAAAGCUAAACAAAAUAAAAUGGGAGAACAGAAGUUUCCCUUGUACAGAUGGACUUAAACAGACUGAAAUAGUAGCCAUGGAACCAGGAAGAUGCUAUAGAUAUCUUAUAAUUUCAAUGGAACAUGGUAGCUGAUAGUAAGCUUUUAUGGCAUAAGCUACCAGAGCUGUUGGCCUCAACAGCUUCACUCUUUGCCAUCAGCAGCACGAAGUGAGCCUAGCUGAACCGGGGCUUGGGUACCCACCACCUUGGAUGACCCAUAAAUAGACAGAUCAAUGCCCUUAACUUUCUCUUUCUCAAUCUGUUCCUUGAUCCAGAAGUAUGUAAUUCUCAGCCCAUCCUACAGAACAGUAGAUUCAAAUAUGGCUUGAUUAAAUAGGAAGUUGCAGGAAAACUAGGCAAGUAAAUCAUCAAGGCAUGACUAUGAACUUCAAUGACUUUCAUAAAGCUUCCACAUAUACACUUGGCUUGUAAGACUGACCCAUUGCAUAAUCCAAAUCAUAAGUUAAAAAAACCUCGUAAUAAGGCAAGCGGUGUCUUGUUAUAUAAGUACCUUCAAUUUCAUUGUUGGAGCCCAACCGAGCUUCUCUUUGAUCAGUGUGUUGUCUGAGUUACGACCACGCACACCCUCUGGGCCUGGAAUGUGAUGGAUGGGAAGGUUCUUGUUCUCAAAGCUGAGAACAAUCUCGGCCAUCUCAUUCAUGCUAACCAUCUCAUCACUUCCAAUGUUCACUGGCUCCCGGAAGUCUGACUUUGUCAGCCUAAACACAAAUUGGAGCCAAGAUGGUAAUCAAUGAGAACACUGAAGGAUAUGGAUUUCAAUUUGAAGAAAUAAUACUAUUUUUCAACAGUUUGAAUCAUAAUUUAAUGAGUUUAUCUUUCCUUUUUCAGAAAAAGGGGACAGAUUUUUUCCCCUUAAAAGAAGAAAAAUAGAACUUGCUAAGGAGCAUGUAUUCCUUUUUAUUUCUAAAACAAGCAAAAACUCCUUUCCCCAUGAAAUCCAGAGAGCAUUGACCAGACAAGUUCAAUGCUUGUCCCUGAGUCCCCCAGCUUCAAGCAAAUAUUAGUCAGAGAUACUACAACAGUACAAAAAGACGCACUCAAGAGUCUUCUCAGAAGUUUAAUAAGUACACUGAUUUAAAGGAGAAUCUCAUUAUUUUAUUUCCACUUCUGAACUAUGAAAGAUUUGUGGAAUUUGAAAUUAUGUCAAACCUAAGAACCUCAAAAUGAAAAGUGAGUUUCGGUCACAUUGCUCACCUGAGGACACCUUCUACACAUUCAUCAAUGAAGGUGAAAGAACGAGUUUGAAGUCCGUCUCCCCACAUUUCAAACUUGUCGGUGGAAGUGAGAGCCUUUCGGCAAAAAGCAGCAGGAGCCUUCUCUCUCCCACCUACGACAAAUAUACCAAAACGACAAAAUUACUAAGAUCCAAAAAUAUGAUUUAGAAUUUAAAGCGGGCUUAAACCUCUCUGCACUUGGCUCCCUACCAUUGACGGUGACCAAGAGACAAAAUCACGAAUACAUGUAGAAAAUCACCAUAACUUUUAAGAGCAUACCUUUCCAUGUUCCAAAAGGUCCAUAAAUGUUAUGGAAUCUUCCAAUACGACAUUCAAUUCCAAAGUCUUUGGUAUAGUGCUUACACAACUCCUCCGUAGCAAGUUUCUCCAAUCCAUAAGCAUCUUGAGGCUAAAAAACAAGCAAAAAAAUAAAUUCUUCCAAAUAAUUUACAAAUAAAAAAUUCAAGCAGAUGCCACAUUUCUGAGCAUUAAAACUAACUAACCUCUGCAGGCCAUGCAUCAGACUCCUUCAAGCUCACAUUAGUUUCCAACUGCUUAAAUUCAGGGUAGAUGCAAGCACUAGAGGCAUAGAAGAACCUGCACAAUGUGGAAUAAUCAGAUAUUAGAGAAUUCUCAGGACCAGAAAAAUUCAUUAGUAAAUUUACGUCUCCUAGACAGAUAAAUGCUGAGUACAUGAAACCAAUUUUCAUAUCAAAUGGAGAACUUAGUCAAAGCCAGGAUAGAACAAAUUGAAGACAACAAACCUCUUAACCCCAUUGAUCCUAGAAGCCUCAAGCAUGUUGAAGCUGAUCAUUGUGUUAUUGUACAUAAUAACUGAAUGGUUGGACUGGAUGAACCCCAUUCCACCCAUAUCAGCAGCAAGGUUAAACACAUGGUCAACUCCUGUAGUGACCUUCAAGCAGUUAUCCAUCACCCUGAGAUCAACAAGAUGAAAUUCAUGACAGAACAUAUCUUCAGUCAUGUGCUCGUUCUUCUUCCAGUCAGAAGCAAUAAUGUAGUGGCCCUCGGUCUUCAGACGCCGAGCAAUGUGAGAGGCAAUAAAACCACCAGCACCAGUGAUUGAAAUCCGGAGCUUUUCAGAUUGCCAGUAUGGUUCCCUCUCAAGCUCCUCAUAGGUGUACGCACCAUAAGUGGUUCCAUCGUUACUUCCCAUUCUGUAGUAAGUCAAUUAAUCAGAAAAGCCCGAGGAGCUUACAAGCACCAAUAGAUCAAUAAUGUCCAUCUUCCAUUACCUACUUAAGAUAGCUAAAUUAAACAUAUAAAGCCGGGAAAAUAAAUAGAUAAUAUUAACAAUUAAUUCAUGAAGGAAAUGGCAACCCAAUCCUUGCAAUCUUAAUGCAAUUCUGUUUCUGUAAACAAAAAUUUAAUAAAUAAAUAUACAAACAGCAGUAGGAGACACUGAUAUGAGAAACAGAAUCAGAAUCAGAAUCAGAAUCUGAAUCUCAAACAGACACCAUGAUAUUUAUACAACAAGGAAUAAAUAAAUUACUGAAAACCAACCAACCCAAUUUUAAAAAUUGAACAAAAUCACACCAAAAUAAUCAUAAAAACAGAAUCCAGAAAAGGUUGAAUGAACACAAACCAAGAAAAUAUAAUUUAGAAGUGACAAUUGCAUCAUGUCUUUCACAUGGGUAACCAUAAAUUAGAGAGCAAAUACUAAAUAAUAAUCCAGAGCCAACAACUCCAGAUGAGCAACACACUCACAAUAAUAAAAUAAUUAAAUAAACAUAUUCCAUUAAAUAUACCAACAAUGGCAUGAAAAAAAGAAUUUGUCAUUCUGGUUAGCCCAAGAAAAAAAAGGGGGAAGCACUGAAAAAGGUGAAAUUUCUCAGAAAUUGAACUUAGCUGAUGAACAAAAUUAACACUUUGAGGAAGUUUUCUUCAAGAACCUUCAACUGAUGUAAACAGAGGUUGUGAUGUCACCACCACAAACGCAUGAGAAACCCCCAUUGAAAAAAAAAAUGUACAAAAUUCCUUACAAAGAUGAAGCAGAAAAACAGAGGAUAAAAGAAAGGGACCCAGAGAAGCAUGAAAUCAACAAAUUGAAAGAAACCCACCAAAAUUAAAACCCUAACAGAGGCCAUCCAAAGAACCCAGAAGAAAACUUUCAGAGACAUCAUGCACACACAAACAACAAGAACAUUAGCAUUGAGAAAACAGAGAAACUAAAAGAAACCCAUUACCUCAAGAUUUAGAAGAAGAAGAUAAUGUGGAAGCUCUCAAGGGAGUGAAUGGUUGUGAGGGUGUAUGCUCUUGUAACGCCUCUCUUAUACACAAAAUGCACGCACCACAAGGCACAGUGAGACAAAGAGACAUUUCAGAGAGCGUCGCUUUGCGAGAGCCCAUCAACCCAAAGUAGGAAAUAUUACUAAUUUUAACUUUUUUUUUUCUACAAAAAAUUAAUUUUUUUAUGGUUUGAUUUUAAAUUAAGUUGUAUAUUGAAUUUAAGAUAAUUUUCUAACAUGAUUUUCUACUUUUAAAGAAAAUAAAAUUUAUUUUUGAUAAUUUUAAAAACUUUUACUUCAAUAAUUUUAUUUUCUAGAGGAGUGAAAAAAAGUGUGUUUUUAUACACAUAUAAAAAAAAUCACAAAUUAAAAUUUUCGAGUUUAUAAAAUAUAAAUUUUAAAUAAUUAUUUAAAAAAUAAUUAAUAUUUAAGACUUUUUUUUAGGCCAAAUGUAUUUAUUUUUAAGGAUAUAUGUACUACCUUUAGUAAUUCUAAAUAUUAUAUUUUAUUUAUGAGUGCAUAAAUUUGAAUUAUUUUUAAAGGGUUUAUAUUUUAUAAUUAUUUUUACAUGAGUGUAUAAAAACACAUUUUUUUUUAAUGACAAAAAGAGAUUUUUAUUCACAAUUAUUGGGUUCUAAGGCCAAGUAACAAAACCAAAAAAUAAAAUAAAUUUAGUACAUUAUUUAUUAAUUUUUGAAAAAAAAAAAUUAAAUUUAAAUAAUUUUUUAUGAUAUAGAAAUAGGGUUAAGUUUUCAUAUUAAUAAUUUUUUUCAUUUAUAAUUUUAUUCAAUGCUCUAAAUAUUAAUCAUAAAUUAAAAUCAUAAUAAAACUGAUGUGGGAUAAGGUUAAUUUCAACGAGACCCUAUAGUGCAAAUACACUAAGUUACUACAAGUUUUAAAUUUCAUUUAUUAACAUUCUUAUAAAUGUAUUUCAUAUAUAAAUUUUAUAAUUACUUUUAUCUAAAAUAUUUUUACUUAAAAUCUCUCCAAAAAAUAAAUUUAAUAAAUGAAAUAAAUUUAUAAGGGUAUUAAUUAAGGAAAUUUUAAACCUAUAUCGACUUAGUGUAUUUACGCUAAAAUUGAAGGGCGUGAAUGAAAUUAACCCAUAUGAAUAAAUAUGGUAUUUUUGGGAAAUAAUAUAAAGACCCAUAAAUCAUAUGGCAAGUGACACUUUUUGCAGGUGGGUAUUGGACUCACGUGGGCAAAACAUGGCCAAGGGGCAGUGGGGCUGAAAGGAAGAUUCCCAGAAAGAGUGCUGAAAGUGACAUCUGUGUCUUCCAACCACCAAGAAAUUACUUGGAAAAUGCUUUCCCAAUUGUACAAUGAGAUGAAAUCUUUUCUUUUUCUUUUUUUUUUCCUUUUUUUUUUUUUUUUUGGUGUGUGUGUGUUGAUGGAGUUGUUAUGAAAGGGAAUUAAUAAUAAAAAAAGGGAAACGAAAUUAUUGAAAAAUGGUGUUAGGUUUUGUUAUGGCCAAAUGUUAGGUUGAUUUUGUAUUGGAUUUGGUUGGGAUGGAGCAGCAAUACAUGUAAUUUUGCUCAAAUUCUUACCUACUUUUUGUCAUCUUUGUGAAAUUAUUGUUUACUGAUCCCACAUAGAUGGGGGUGGGUCAUAUUUGGGUUUGAUUAUCUUUGCAUCCCCAAAAAUUUGGAAAAUGGGUUUGGGAGGUUUGGGUUAAAAAUGGGCCUUUUAGCCAUAAAGCAUAUAUUUGGGAUCUAUUUUAAAAUGUUUAUUUACAAUAGUCUAUUUGUAUUUAAUGUUUUAUUUUUAAUUUUUUUUGAAAAAAAAUAUUUGAAAUCAUAUUUUCAAAGAUCAAUUUGAUCCCAAAUUUGAGUUUCUGAGUUAUAUUUCAUAAUAUCUUCCGGAUAGGUUUUUAUUUUGACUUUAAUUUGAAGUUAAAUAUGAAGUCAAAGUCAUAUUUUUUAAAGAAUAAUACUAUUAUGGUAAAAGUUUGAUUAAAUAUGAAAGAUUUUUUUAAAUAAAUUAAAAUAAUUUUUUUUUAUAAAAAAGCAAUAUUGUUACUAACUUUAUAAUUAAUAUGUAUAAAUACUUUUCAUGAAGCAAAAAAAAACGAUUUUUAAUUUCUCAAAAAUGAACUCAAAUAAUGCCAACUAUGAACUUAACAGAAAUAUUUAAAAUUGUACCUCCUAUAAAGAUUAUUCCAGAAUAAAUGGAAAAAAUGUUUUUAGAUUUUAAGUAGUGAAUUCAUACCGGGUCUAAGUGAUUGAUAGAUGGAUGGAAAGAACAAUUUCACCGUAUUGUUUGUUUUUAUAACUUUUGGAUAAAGACAACUUACUUUUAAGCUUCAUAUGUUUAUUCUUUUACUAUUUUUUAAUAUAUUACUUAUUUCUAAAAAAAAUUUAUUGAAUAGAAAAAGUUGUAACAUUUAGUUUUUUUUUUAAUACUAAAAGUUACUUAUUGAUUUUUUUUAUUUCUUAAUAUUUAAUAAAAAUAAAAUAUUUAAAAAAAUAAAUAUUUUAAUACUUAAUUACUAUGAAAUUUUAAAUUAUAUUUAGAAUUAAGUAAAAAACAAACAAACAAACAAACACUACCUUACUCAUUGACCGCAAAUUAUAAACCGUUAAAAAGAGUUAUGGAUGAAAUGAGUUUAUUGAAACCACUCAAAAUUAAUCAUUUUAUAAUAAUUAAAAUGAAUAAAUAUAUCCUUAUAUUUAUGCCUCCCCAAUGCAUCAUUUUGAAAAAUAAAUUAACUAUAAUAUCAAUGAAUUCCAAUUUCAUUCUUUAGAGUCUAAGAAAUCAGAGAAUGAAUCAAUUGCAACUUCAUAUUUUCAAAAAACUAACUUAUUUGUAAGUACAUUUAGCACACAACUCUAUUAGAAUUUGAUGAGCUUCAACUGCAAUUCCCAAUCAUUUCUUCCCAUGUGUUUUUUUUAUAUUUUGGAAGUAACUUUCUGUAAAAAAAAAACAAAAAAGAAAAAUUAUUAUUAGUCUUUGUCAGAAUUUGAACAUGUUUGAAUUCUACUUCAGCUAUUGAAUCUUAACUUUAUGAUUUUAAGUGUAAGCUUUAAUACCAAUUAGUGUGUUAGUGGGAGCGUUAAUUCAAACAUAUUAAAAGAAAAACACAAAAAAUAAAGCAAACCAUAUAAAAGGAACUCGAGAUUUUAAUGUAGUUCAAUCAACCAUACCAACCUUUAUUGAUCAAUAUGAUAGAAGAUAUUACAGAGGGAAUAAAAAAAAAGUACAAUUAUCGGGUCUUUUUCAAUCUUCAUCUUAAAUUAUGAAUAAUUGUGUUUCUCACUCUUUCUCAUAUCUACAUCCUAAUAAACCCUCUUACUUCACUGGGUAUUUCUCGUUCUUCUUCACAUUUUUUUCUUAUAACUUUUUUCCUUUCAUGAAGUAGAACAUUUAUAAAAAUAUUCUCAUUAGCUUUCCUUAUUUUAUAAAAAAUCUAAUUAUAAUUAGGUAUAAGUUAGAAAAUAUUCUAUAUAAUAUUCUUUUUACGAAAAAAAAGUAUAUUCCAAAUAAGAAUUUGAGAGAACAUCCCAACAUUAAGAUUAUUUAUUAUCAACAAAAUUCUAUUUUCCAUCAUAAUGGUUCAAAUUGAUCUGAUUUUACAGCCAUGGAUUCUUGAUUUUAAAGCUAUUUUUCUUAUGUGAUACCAAUUUUACUCCAUUCAUUUUGUUUGGUAAUAACUACCACUAAGGAAGUUGUCAAAUGGUUGUCAUUUAAAUACAAAUAUACAAAUCAUUUUUCUAUGCAAGUAUUUGUCUUAUUAUUGUUUUCUUUAAUUGUUUUAUUGCACCCCAUAAAGUAAUAAGCAAUUUGGGUGGUGAUAGGAUUUGAAUUCUUAUUUAGAAGCAUGGAUUGGUAGAAAGAUACUGGAUUUUCUUUAUGAGAUGGGGUGGACCACAUUUAUGGACAGAGAAGAGUUGAGUAAUAUUCAAAAAAAGGGGUAGGUCCAUUUUUAAAUGUUUUUUAGAACCCAAAUUUUAUCAGUUAAGAUUAAAAAUCACAUAAAAAAAAUCAUUGAAUCCAUUUAACAAUAAGACCUAACUAACCACUUUUACCAAAAGAUUGGAUUAUAAAUUUGUAUAACUUUUUUAUUUCAAUUUUAUCAUUUUUAUAAAAUAAAGAGUUUUGUUGUUGAAUAUUUUUUAUAGGAGUCAUUGAAGACCGAAAUUUGAAAAUUUAAUCCUUUAUUUUUUUUUACUAUCAUUUUGAUAAAAAUACCCUUAUUUUUUCUUGUAAAAAUAUUUUUUUUUCUUUUAUAACAUGCCUGUAAAUACUUAAAAUAAUCAAGGGCGUUUAUGUAAAAAAAUGAGUUACUCUUCAGAUAAAAACAUGGGAGGUAUUAAAUUCACAAAUAUGAGGAUUAUUUCAUUCCCUUUUAACCAAUUAAUUCUAAAAUUUAACUUCUUUAAAAUUAAAUCACUUAUUUUAAACCAAAACAUUUUAUUAUUAAAUUUUUUUGGUGCCAUUAUAUAUAUUUUGAUAAUUAUAUUUCAUUUUUUUAAUUCUCUAAUUUAAUAAAAUUAAAACUCUAAAUAGAUUCUAUUUAAUUUAUUUAUAAGAAUACUCAUUUUUCUAAAUUUCUUAUUUAUAUAGUUUUAAAUAAUAAAAAAAAGAAAACAAUUACAAAUUAAAAUAUAAAAACCUUUUUAUAUUAUUUAUUUAUUUAUUGUAUUUUUUUCUUUCAUUAUAAAUAUAUAUUGUGGUAAUUUAUUGAAAUUUUCUUUAAUAUUUUGAUAAUUUAUUAUAUUUAUGAAGUUAUAAAUUUUCUUUAAUAUAAUUAAAUAAUUAUGUAUUUAUUUAAUCUAGCAAGUUAGUUGUUCUACAUUAUAUAGUGUUAAUUUUGUAUGUUUUUCAUGUAGCAUGAUUGCAAUAUGCAGGUGAGACUAUUGCAUACUGUUUGAUAGUAUGACAGCUACUAGUAAAAAGGAUGAAAGGUGAAGGUUCACAAUCAAUUAAUAAUUGACAAAAAUGAAAUGAGAAAAGCCUAAUGGACUUAGUAUAAAAGACCAACAAAAAAAUUAGAUGAGAUGGAGUCAUUACAAAUGUGGGACCCAUUAACAUGAUUUGAUUUCUUUUAAUGGGGUGCAAUGGGUGCAUUUGAUGGAUUUCUCAUUCAUUCUUCUAUGCUUUUUAACAAUCAAGUGUCACAUAGGAAUAGAGGAAGGAGGGAGAAUGUUAUCAAAAUUUGUAAGUCAUUUAUGUUUAUGAUAAGAUUUGUAUAUUUGUAUGGUCUGGUUGGGAAGGAGAAGAGCACAAGUCAAGGGUGUUAACAAAGACUAUGUGUGAUCCAAUGAUAACAAUGUGCAAGUUAUUUGUGAUUAUGAUACAAUUUGUAUAUUUGUAUGGUCUAGAGGGAAGGAAUAGAGCAAAAGUCAAGGGUGUUAACAAAGACUAUGUGUGAUCCAAUGAUAACAAUGUGCAAGUUAUUUGUGAUUAUGAUACGAUUUGUAUAUUUGUAUGGUCUAGAGGGAAGAAUAGAGCAAAAGUCAAGGGUGUUAACAAAGACUAUGUGUUAUCCAAGAAAUAAUUUUUCAUUUCCCUUACCUAGUAAAAUACUUUAACUAAUAAUAUACUUAAAUGUUGUAGAAUUACUUCCAUAUAAGUUUAUAUUUGUUAAUAAUAUUUAUGUGAUGUUACAUAUACGUGUACUUACAGAUUUAUGACACCUUAUCAUAAUGUACGAUAUUAGUUAUUUGAUUUUCAAGGUAAUUGUCGCUUUAGAAAGAAGGAAGAAAUGUUCAAUCAUGCACAUGAUGAAUUGGGGAAUAUGAUUGAAAGAGUUUUUGGAGGGUUUCAAAGUUAUAAUUUUCAAUCUUCAAGAGGAUCAUAUCUUAUCCUUUCCUAGUGCAAAGGAAUAUUAUUAUUGUAUGUGUAACAAUACAUAACUAUCUUCAAAGAACAAUAGUUAAUGAUGCAAUUUUCAAUUAAUUUGAUUUUAAUAAUUUUGUACCUAAAAGUACCCAUAAUAAUAAUGAAAAUUCAACAUCAAUAGAAUUUAGAGGAUAUGAAAUAUAAUAUAAUCGCAUUUUAUGUGACCAAAUUGCAAAUGAAUUAUUUAGUGGUUGAGUUUAAAUAUUUUCUUUUAGUUAUUUUAAAUAUUUAAGAUUUUUUUUUUGUAAUAAUUUGUUUGUUUAGUAAUUUUUAGCAUAUAAUGCAUAUGGUAUUUUAUGCCAAAGAAUAUUUUUAUUGAUUAAUAUAUUAUUCAUAUAGAAUCUAGAAAGAAUAUUAAAAUACACUUAUAAUAUGUAACUCUUAUAAUCUAGUAUUAAAAUUUUUCAGUAUUUAACUUUCAUUUUUAUGAAAUGUUACCACUUGGACAUUACCAUGUGACACACUACAAGGAGUGAAAUGGAGUAAAAAAAUAAAGAGGAACCAUGCCAUGUUAACACGCCAUGAAGUAGCUUAAUCAAAUUGAAAUUGAAACGGAAAGGAUGCAUACCAUAUCAAUUGAGAAAUUAGUAGAUUUGGGGUGGUGACAUGGGAAAUUCAAUUGGAAAAAAUCUAGGUUGUGACAUGGAUAAUUGGUUGGAGAGACUUUAUGAGAUAAAUGUAUUGGAACGAUGUGAUAAUUGAGGAAUGUUAUAGAAAAUAAAGUGGAAUGAGAAGAAAUCUAGAAAGGAAAAAUAGAAUGCUAAGAAAGAAAUUGAAUGAAUAUUUCAUUAGAAGUCUUCCUUUUUAUAUAAAGUCACAAAGAGACUUACAUCAUCUUGGAUGAUCAUCCACAAGUUCCCAUAAUGGAACAAAUUCUCAUAUUUUGUAACAUUCCCCCUUAUAUAAUUAUAAGAAUAUGGUGACUGUCUUAUUAAAUACCUCGUCAAUAAAACCUAGUAAAACAAAACUUGGAUGAAGGAAAAAAGAGUACAGUAUAUCCAUAUUAAUAUUUUUCCCCUCAUGUAGACAUGAUAAUGAUUUCUUUAAUUUUUUUAACUAGUAGAUCUCUCAAUAUUCAUAUUUUGAUGUUGUAUCUUAACUUUUUAAACAUAGUUAAAGAUAACGCCUUUGUGAAUAGUGUUGGGAUUUAAUCCCUAAAAGCAAGAUAUACUAAAAUGAAUUAAGAAAAACACCCAAAAGGCGGGGGGCGGGGAGAGGGGGGGGGGGGGGGAAAUUGGGUUUUUAAAAAUUUUUCAAUCCCACCAAAUUCAACCCCCAAAAAACCAAAAAAAAAGAAAAAGGUUGGGAAAUUCAAAUUCGGGUUUAAAGGGGGUCACCCCUCCUUUGCCACCGCCCCCCCCCCCCAACCCCCCAACCAAGAAAGGGUUCCUUAAACUUAAAGCUUCAACCAAGCUUCCAACCUUUUUAACCUUGGAUUCCCCCCCCAAGGGGCCCUUAAACAAUUUCUCCAAAAUCCAAACCCCUGGAAGGGUUUAAACCCCAAAAUUUUUAAAAAAAAAACCCCCCCCCCCACCUAAAGGGAAGCCCCAAACCAAAAAAAAGCUGGCUGGGCCCCCAANNNNNNNNNNNNNNNNNNNNNNNNNNNNNNNNNNNNNNNNNNNNNNNNNNNNNNNNNNNNNNNNNNNNNNNNNNNNNNNNNNNNNNNNNNNNNNNNNNNNUUCCAAAAAGGGAAAAAUUUUUAAUUUUUCGAAAAAUUCCCCUUUAAAUAAUAAAAAGAAAAGGGGGAGGGUUUUAUAAAAACCCUCUCAAAAAAAACUUGUUAAAACAAAUUUGGGAGGAGGAAAAAAAGGGUCCUGUUUUUCCAUAUUAUUUUUUUUCCCCCAAUGUAACCAAAUAAAGGUUUUUUUUAAUUUUUUAAAUUAGUGAAUUUCCAAAUUUUUAAUUUUUAAUGUUGUUUUUUACUUUUUUAAAAAUAUUAAAAAAAAACCCUUUUGGAAAUGGUUUGGGGUUUUAAUCCCAAAAACCAAGAUAUAUAAAAUGAAAUAAAAAAAACCCCCAAAAAGGGGGGGGGGGGGUGGGGGGGGGGGGGGGGUGAAUUGGGUUUUUAAAAACUUUUCAAUCACAACAAAUUCAAACACAAUAUAAGCAAAAUAAAGAGAUAGAGUUAGAGAAUUCAAAUUCGGGUUUAUAGUGGUUCAGCACUUCUUUGCCUACGUCCACUCUCCUCAAUCUCCUAACCGAGUAAGGAUUCCAUUAACUUAAAGCUUCAACCAAGCUUCCAAUCUUCUUACACUUGGAUUCCAGCUCUAAUGGGCUCUUAUACAAUUUCUUCAAGAUUCAAACCUCUUGAAGGCUUUAAUACUCAGAUUUUUAUAAGAAAUAAUCCCUCAACCUAGCUUAAGGAUAGCUCAAAUACAAGACAAAGCUAGCAUGACACACAAGAGUGCACUAAAGGAUAUGCAAGUGGUGAUUUAAUGCACUAUGAAGGAAAUGAGAGCUUUUUGAUCAAGAAUAGGUAGGUAGACUAUUGAAUGCAAGUGUUCUCUUGUCAAUAAAUGAAGUGGAGCUCUGAAUUUAUAGGUUUCUAAGCUCGGGAGUCAAAAAUAGAAAAAAGUAACCUCGUCUGGUCGAGUUAGGGGUUGACCGGUUCACUAGCUGUUGGAGCAUUUAAUGCUUGACAGGUUACCGUUGCCUCGACCGAUCCUUGACCAGGAAGAGAAUCACCUCGACCAGGAAGAGAAGGCCACUGGGAGAGAGAGAAAGUUUUUGGCAUUCCUCGACCGGUUCCUCAAUCGAUUGAGCCGGUUGGCCAUAGCCUCAAGUGAUUGAGCCUUUUUGGCCCCGAAAACCUAUUUUUUUAAUUCCUUUCUUUUCUAACAUUUAGACAAGGUCUUUAAGUGAAUUAUUAAGCCAAUUAUAAAACAUUUUUCCUAAGGUACAUUAGUUAAAAACUCAGGUUUUAAUGAAAUCGAAGUUUUAAAGAAUAAACCGAGAGCAUGAAACAUGUGAAGAUCCUAAGUGCAUUCAUGCAUUCAUCUUACAUUAGUUUCCUAUGAUCACAAGUCUUCCAAGCGUCUCGAUCUUGUAUCCAUUUGGUCCUUUGAUGAAUUUUCGAGUUUAUGUCUGAGAUUCUUAAUCAUUAAACCAAUUAGUCACUUAACCAUGGUUUGUUAUCAUCAAAACCCGAUUAGGAGAACCCUUGGGCUAACAAUCUUCCCCUUUUUUAUGAUGACAAACCUUGGUUAUCUAGGAGAGAAAAAAAGUCUUCCCCUCAAACCAAUCAUGGAUCAAUCAAACAAUUUUUAAUAGAAAACAAUGUAAAACACGAAAAUUUGAAUAGGGAAUAAUGGAUCAUGAAAAUAUCAUAUCAUAUAUAUAUGGCAACCUCACAUGUACACGAAAACAUAUGCUAAACAAGAUAGAUAUGACAAUGAUGACAAUGACAUGCAUGAGGGUCUCCUAGAUCCUAUAUAUUUCUCCUAAUUUGGCAACAUAAAAAAGAAACUGAUGAGGAACUCUAGAUAAUCUCAAGGCUUAGGGGGUGGAAGAGGAAACACAAAACAGAGGUAAGCCAUCAUCUCCUCAUGCUGACUCACCUGGCGACUCUCAAUGCGAUCAAUGCUCUACUAGAGAUGCUCGAAUGUAGCCUGUUGCUGAUCCAUACGCUCCUCUAUGCACUCAAAUCUCUGCUGGAAGUGCUCAAAUAGAGAAGUGAAGCCAAUCUGAUACUGAUCUAUGUGCUCCUCCAUAGAGUAGAAACGAGUGUCAUGGACUAAAGCAAACUCCUCCAUACGAGUCCCAAGGGAGCUGAUCUGAGCUGAGACAUCCAUCCAAGGCGCAUGAUCAGGAGCGUGAGGUGCCUGAGAUGGUAGCUCUGUGUGAGGAAGCUCGAUAAAUGAUGGCUGAGAUGAUGGUCCUGCUGUGUAAGAUGGCUCAGUCAUCAUAGGCUCGGAGAAAGUGGACUCCACAUGAAUACCAUCUGACUGAGGUAGAGGCGAAUUGUCAAGCUCGGGUCCUCUCUACUUCGGGAUGCAUCUGUCCCUGACCCCAGGCCUGUCGCUCAGCUCUCCUAAUCCAAGAGCCAUCGGGUGCCUUCUCGAACUUCAUUCGCCCCAAGGACUGCUCAUUGUAUGUGUCAUAGCUAGUGGGGGCCUCAAAAUCCGUCUCUCUGCUCAAGUCGACCCUAGCAUCCUUGAAUACUCGGGUAAGGAAACAGUCGUAGGGGAGUACUCGGGUCGUGCUCUCAACGCAGGAUAUCAUAUGCAUUAUCAUUAGAUACCCUACGUGAAUCCGUCUCCCAGUCAGAAUCGAGUCCACAAUGAAUGCCUCAAGGUAGGAGACCUCGUCUCGAUGUCCUCCUCGUGGCAAUAAGAUGGAGCAGAUCAUGUGAUGAAGGACUUGGCUGGGCACGAUCAGGCUGUGUGCCAAUGGUUUGCCCAUCCCCUGGGCAUCUGCGAGUCUACACAACCUCUAAACAACCUCUCUAGGCUCGAAUCUCGGCACAAUGGGCCACAUCUUAGCCUCAUACACCCAGAGGCCAACUGAAGGAAUGUCGAGAAUAUGCGGCAGAUACUCUCUAGGCUCAAUCCAAUCUCAACUUCUCUAAUCGUGGACAUGAUCGGUCCUCCAAGCCCAUAUGUCACCAGUGAAUAAAAAACUCUCACCAGAGUCUGGAAGAUCGGCUCGGAAAUCGUCACAACUGGCAGUCAUCCCAUCCGACUAAAGAGUCCCUCAAACCCGAAGUACUGAAGUUAGGAGAAAUUGAUACUUCUCCCUGGGAUGACUUUCCUUUGGGAGAACUUUUGCUUGUAUCGCUGAUAGUCUUCGAUGGAACUAAAGAGGGUCGUGUCAUACCUCGCCUUUCGGUGAGCCUCCGUCUGCUCAGGUUGAAAUGGCUCAGCAGGGUGUUUGCCCUAAGCCCUGGAGGUGCCUGUCUCUUGCCUAGGAGCCAUCCAACGAAUGGAAUAGGGAGAAAGAGAAGUCCAAAAGGAGAAUGAAAUCAAACAAGAGAGAGCAAACACCAACCCGAAGCCCUAGGCGCACGGAGAUGAAGCUAAACCAAGCUUGAGGAGCGUAGUACAGAGAGAAAACGCUCCCAAGACUGAAAACCCUAAGUUUUCGAUUGAAACCCUAACCUCGAAUGCGUCCCAAAAUCCACUCCAAAGCCUUCAAUCGAUCCAAGAAUCAACCCAAAAUAGUCUCUAGAAGCAAGUAGGUGAAGAGUUUUCAAGGAGAUGAAGAAAACAGUGAGAGAAAUAACGCGCGGGGGCCUCUUUAAAUUCCUAGCCUCGACAAACCGGUCGACCAAUUCCUCAACCGAUCAACUGCUUGGUCAAUGGUCAACGGUCCAAAAUUUUUGCAUUUUCUUGUCUCGUGAUCCUCUCCCUACCUUUUUCAGUUGAAAUCCCCAAUUUUUUAUGUCCAAUGCCAAGGGAAUUUUGAUUUUUGGUCAAAAUUUGACCUUUUUCCUAAGAUUAUUUCUAUAUGAUGCAUAUGAUAUGAAUUUCACGCAAUCAUAAGGUAUAUUCAAUCAAGAAUUCAUCAAGCAAUCAUUUGAUCAUAAAGAAAUCACCCCUAAUUGUCUUCUAAUAUCAACAAAUUGCUCUUUACUUAGAAGUUUUAUAAAAAUAUCGGCAAGUUGAUCUUUUGUGCAUGGUCUCUAAGAAAAUGGUGUCUAAUCUCUAUAUGCUAAGUCCUAGAGUGUUGCACUAGAUUUUUUGAAAUGUUUAUGGUACUAGUGUUAUCACAUUUAAUAGGAACAUGCUCAAAAAUCAAAUUGAAAUCACUAAGUGUUUGUUUCAUCCAAAGGAUUUGUGCACAACAUAAACCGGUUGCCAUGUAUUCGGUUUCCGCCGUAGACAAAGCUACCGAAUUUUGCUUCUUACUAUGCCAUGAAACAAGUGAGUGUCCUAGGAAAUGACAAGUGCCACUAAUGCUUUUCCUUUCAACUUUACAAUCGGCAAAGUCGGCAUCCGAGAAUCCAAUUAAUUCAAAGUUAUCACCCUUAGGAUAUCAUAAGCCUAUGUCCAUUGUCCCUUUUAAAUAUCUAAGAAUUUGUUUUACGGCACUUAAAUGAGAUUCUUUAGGACAAGAUUGAAAUCUAACACACAAGCAUACACUAUACAUGAUGUCGGGUCUACUAGCGGUCAAAUAUAGCAAAGAACCUAUCAUGCCUCAAUACAUAGUUGAGUUGACGGACUUACCUAUCUCAUCCAUGUCAAGCUUGAUAGAUGAACUCAUUGGAGUCUUAAUUGUUUUGGCUUCCUCCAUAUUGAACCUUUUGAGGAGAUCUCUUAUAUACUUUGCUUGAUUGAUGAAGGUUCCUUCCUUUAGUUGCUUGAUUUGAAGUCCAAAGAAGAAGUUAAGUUCUCCCAUCAUGCUCAUUUCGAACUCACUAUGCAUGCAUUUAGAAAAUUCUUCACAAAGAGAGACAUUAGUAGCUCCAAAAAUGAUAUCAUCAACGUAUAUUUGCACUAAGAGCAUGUCAUUUUCUUUGGUUUUUAUGAAAAGAGUUGUGUCAAUUUUUCCCAUUUUAAAACCCUUUUUCAAAAGAAAUUUACUCAAUCUUUCAUACCAUACUCUAGGUGCUUGUUUCAAACCAUAAAGUGCCUUUUUAAGUUUAAAAACAUGAUUAGAAAAGUUAAAACUUUGAAAACCGGGUGGUUGUUCAACAUAUACCUCUUCAUUUAUAAAGCCAUUUAAGAAAUCACUUUUCACAUCCAUUUGAUAUAAAACAAAGUCUUUAAAACAUGCAAAGGCAAGUAGCAUCCUAAUGGCUUCCAAUCUAGCUAUGGGAGCAAAGGUUUCUUCAUAAUCUAUCCCUUCUUCUUGAUUAAAACCUUGGGCUACCAAUCUUGCUCUAUUCCUUAUAAUUAUGUCAUUUUCAUCCAUUUUAUUUCUAAAGACCCAUCUAGUUCCAAUAACACUUUGAUUUUGAGGUCUUGGAACUAAUUUCCAUACUUCACUUCUUUCAUUGGUUUAACUCUUCUUGCAUAGCAAUCAUCCAAUUUUCGUCAACUAGAGCAUCUUUUAUAUUUUUAGGUUCAAUUUGAGAGAUAAAGCAAGAUUAUUGUAAAUAUUUCUAAGAGAUGAUCUAGUUCUUACCCCAUUAGAUGGAUUACCUAUAAUUUGAUCUUGUGGGUGGUUGAUGACAAACUUCCAAUCUUUAGGGAGGUCUUGGUUUGAUUCACGUUGCACUUGUUGAGGAGGAGGUAGUGUCAAAGGUGAUUCUUCUUUCUUGGGAUCCUCUACAAUUUCUUCUUGUUGUUUUCUAUCUUCAAUUUGUAAUUUUCCCAUGGAGGUCUCCAAACCUAAAUCAUCAUCAAAGCUCUCUCUUUCUUGGAGAGAAUUGUUAGAUUCAUAAAAAAUAACAUGGAUGGACUCCUCAACAACCAUGGUUCUUUUGUUAAAAACUCUAAAGGCUUUACUUGAAGUUGAAUAACCAAGAAAAAUUCUAACAUCCGAUUUUGCAUCAAAUUUUCCAAGAUUGUCUUUGGUGUUUAAUAUAAAGCAUUUGCACCCAAAGACUUUGAAAUAGCUAAUGUUGGGUUUCUUGUUUUUCCAAAGCUCAUAGGGAGUUUUCUUAAGAAUAGACCUUAAUAAAAUUCUAUUUAAAACAUAACAAGAAGUGUUAACCGCUUCGACCCAAAAGUAUUUUGGUAAAUUGUUUUCAUUUAGCAUGGUUCUAGCCAUUUCUUAAAGAGUUCUAUUUUUCCUUUCAACUACCCCAUUUUGUUGAGGAGUUCUAUGAGCUGAAAAAUUGUGGUUAAUACCAUGCUCAUUGCAAUAGUCUUCAAAAUCAAUAUUUUCAAAUUCUCUCCCAUGAUCACUUCUUAUACAAGUAAUUGUAAAACCUUUUUCAUUUUGAACCUUGUUGCAAAACUUUGAAAAAUCAUAAAAGGCUUCAUUCUCUUGACUUAAAAAUAAGACCCAAGUAUAUCUAGAGAAUUCAUCCACAAUAAUAAAAGCAUAAGAUUUUCCUCCAAGGCUUGGUGUCCUAGAGGGACCAAAUAAAUCCAUAUGUACAAUUGAAGAGGCCUAGUUGUUGAAAGGAAAUUUUUGUUUUUAAAAGAGUUUUUGAUUUGCUUUCCCAUUUGACAAGCUUCACAAACUUUGUCUUUUUGAAAAUUUAUUUUGGGAAGACUUCUAACAAGUUCAUCUUUGUUGAGUUGGGAAAUGAGGUUCAUGUUAGCAUGUCCCAACCUCCUGUGCCACAACCAACUUUGAUUAUGCAUGCUUGAAAAGCAUCUAUCAUGGCCAUCAUAUUUUGAAAUAUUUAUUGCAUAAACAUUAUCACAUCUAUGGCCCAUGAAGAUGGUUUUAUCAUUUUGAAUAUCUUUGAUGAUGCAAUGAGAUGCUUUAAAAAUCACUUUAAAACUUUUGUCACAAAGUUGACUUAUGCUCAAAAGAUUAUGUUUUAAACCAUCCACUAAUAAAACACUUUCAAUAAGAGAGGGUGUGGCAUUACCAAUGUUGCCUUGACCAAUGAUCCUUUCUUUUGAAUUGUCUCCAAAUGUAACGUAUCCUACAUUUUUCUUUGUAAAGAAAGCAAACUUGGAUUCAUCCCCGGUCAUGUGUCUUGAGCAUCCACUAUCCAAGAACCACUUAUCCUUCUUUGAUCCCUACAAAAUAAAAUUUAAGUUGAUUUAGGUACCCAUAUCUUUUUGGGUCAUUGAGGGUUAGUGACCUUGGAUUUCUCAACCCAAACCUUUUUAGCUUUAGCAUUUGAAUUCUUUUGAGAAUCAUUUCUUAAGGGACAUGUACUACUAAUGUGUCAUCCUCUUCCACAAAAGUUGCAAGUGGUAGAAGGACUUGCACUUGUGGAUUCUUUUACAAAGUAGUUUUUAAAAUACUUUUGAUUUUUUGAAGAUUUGAAUCCUAGCCCUUGUUUGUCAAAGACACAUUUUUGGCUAGCUAAGAUCAUUUCAAAAGAUUUUUGUCCAUAAGAGAAAAUUGAAAGAGAGGAGGUCAACCAUUCAUUUUUCUUUUUCAAAAUCUCAUUUUCACUUCUCAAAAUCUCAUUUUCUUUUUCAAGAUGGGUUUUAGAUAUUUCAACAAUUGAAAAUUUUUCUUUGACUUCUUCAAGUUCCUUUUCAAGUUCUUGAAUUUUCUUUUUAAGAGAAUUAUUUUUCAAACUAAGUUUUUCAAAAUCCUCAUAUAAUUCUUCAAAAACAUCAUGCAUAUCUUCAUCACUAAAGAUAGAGUUUACCUCAUCAAGAUCAUCUAUUGCCAUGAAACACAUGUUUGCCACUUCCUUCUACUUUUCUUCUUCGGAGGAUUCUUCACUUUGACUCCAAGUGGCCAUCAUUGCCUUCUUCAUUCUUCUAUUGGCUUCACUCUUGUAGAAAGGACAAUCAUAUUUAAUGUGUCCCGGUUUUUUUGCACUUGAAGCUUAUCAAAUCUCUUUUCUCUUCCCAUUUCUCCUUAUCACCAUGGGAUGAAUAUUCCUUUUUAGAAGGAUAUCUUUUAGAGGUGAACUUCCUUCCUCUAAACCUUUCACCUCUCAUGUAUUUGUUGAGCUUUCUUGUGAUGAGGGCUAAAUCAUCAUCUUCAUCACUUGGUUUUUCUUCUUCAACAUCUUCUUCUUCCUUGGUUGUAGCUUUGAGGGUUAUGUUCUUUUUUUUGUCUGCACCCUCUUGUAUCUUCUUUGUCAAAUUUAUCUCAUAUGUCAUUAAUGACCCUAUGAGCUCUUCCAUAGGUAUCUUAGUCAAAUCUUUUGUUUCUUGAAUAGCGGUGACCUUGGUAUGCCACUUUGAUGGGAGAGACCUCAAUAUCUUCAUCACCUUCUCAGAUUCCUUGUAGGUUUUUCCCAAAGCUUCAAGGCCAUUGACAAUGUCGGUGAACCUAGUACUCAUCUCAACAAUAGUCUCAUUUUCUUUCAUUGAAAACAAUUCAUAGUUAUGAACAAGUAAAUUGAUUUUUGACUCUUUCACUUGAUUAGUUCCUUCAUGAGUUAUUUCAAGCAACCUCCAAAUUUCUUUAGCCGAUUUGCAUUGACAUAUUCUAUUAUAUUCAUUUCUAUCCAUAGAACAUUGCAAAGUAAAAACGGCUUUAGCAUUUAAUUGAAAGUUUCUUCUAUCAAGCUCAUUCCAUUCUUACUUAGGUUUUGGAACCAAAACUCCAUCAACUAGUUUAGUGAGAAAAGUUGGGACAUUUUCAAUGACAUCCCAUACAUCUAAAUCAGUAGAUUGCAAAUACCAAGUCAUUCUAGUUUUCCAAUAGGAAUAGUCGAUUCCCGUAAAGAAUGGAGCUCUAUGUUUUGAAAAAAAUUCAGUUUGGGAUGAGCUUGAUGGAAUAGCCAUUUUCUCUUAGACGAUUAAGUCUUUAAAAAACAAGAGGUCUAGCUCUGAUACCAAUUGAGAAAACAAAGGUCAUGCCUAAUUAAGAAAAACACCCAAAAUUGGGAGGGGGAGGGGAGGUGGGUGAAUUGGGUUUUUAAAAACUUUUCAAUCACAACAAAUUCAAACACAAUAUAAGAAAAAUAAAGAGAUAGAGUUAGAGAAUUCAAACUUGGGUUUAUAGUGGUUCGACACUUCCUUGCUUACGUCCACUCUCCUUAAUCUCCUAACCGAGUGAGGGUUCCACUAACUUGAAGCUUCAAUCAAGCUUCCAAUCUUCUUACACUUGGAUUCUGGCUCCAAUGGGCUCUUACACAAUCUCUUUAAGAUUCAAACCUCUUGAAGGUUUUAACACUCAGAUUUUUACAAGAAAUAAUCCCUCAACCUAGCUUAAGGAUAGCUCAAAUACAAGACAAAGCUAGCAUGACACACAAGAGUGCACUAAAAGAUAUGCAAGUGGUGAUUUAAUGCACUAUGAAGGAAAUGAGAGCUUUUUUUAUCAAGAACAGGUAGGUAGACUAUUGAAUGCAAGUGUUAUCUUGUCAAUAAAUGAAGUGGAGCCCUCAAUUUAUAGGUUUCUAAGUUCGGGAGUCAAAAACAGCAAAAGGUAACCUCGUCUGAUCGAGCUAAGGGUCGACCGGUUCACUAGCCGUUAGAGCAUUUAAUGCUUGACAAGUUACUGUUGCCUCGACCGAUCCUCGACCGGGAAAAGAAUCACCUUGACCGGGAAGAGAAUCACCUAGACCGGGAAGAGAAGGCCACUGGGAGCGAGAGAAAGUUUUUGGCAUCCCUCGACCGGUUAUCGACCGGUCCUCGACCGGACAAGGUCAACCGGUCGACCGGUUCCUCAACUGGUUAAGCCAGUUGGCCAUAGCCUUGACCGGUUGAGCCUUUUUGGCCCCGAAAACCUAUUUUUUUUAAUUCCUUUCUUUUCUAACACUUAGGCAAGGUCUUUAGGUGAAUUAUUAAGCCAAUUAUAAAACAUUUUUCCUAAGGUACAUUAGUUAAAAACUCAGGUUUUAAUGAAAUCAAAGUUUUAAAGAAUAAACUGAGUUUUCUAAGUUGCAUGAAACGUGUGAAAAUCCUAAGUGCACUCAUGCAUUCAUCUUACAUUAGUUUCCUAUGAUCGCAAGUCUUCCAAGCGUCUUGAUCUUGUAUCCAUUUGGUCAUUUGAUGAAUUUUCGAGUUUAUGCCUGAGAUUCUUAAUCUUUAAACCAAUUAGUCACUUAACCAUGGUUUGUUAUCAUCAAAACCAAAUUAAGAGAACCCUUGGGCUAACAAUGAAGAUAGACUUUACUAUCCCUUUGUUGUCCCUUUUAUUCAUUGAUAUUUAUUUGACCAUUCAAACUCAUAUUCCUUCCAUUGUAUAUGACUUGGGUGCAUUAGGAGUUGAAUAAAUGAUACAAGUCAUGGGUUCCUUGCAAGGUGAUAAGUUGUUCAUAAUCAAUUUAUGGAUUUGGGUAAUCUAGUAGAGAUUGUAAUGUAUUAUCUCCUAAUUGGAAGGAUGACUUAUCUUAACCAUCAUGAUAAGUUUCCCAUGGUGAGUGCACUAGUGUGUAUGGUUACACAUCGGACAUGAUCUACAGUGAAUCAUGAACUAAGGCUAUUGGGUUGUUAUGAUUCAUCGAGCCAAUUUGUUGUAUGGACUCUCAACCUUGAGAGGAUAUUGAGUUUGUGCUAAAAUUAAUAGAAAGUUCUGACCUAUGGGUGAGACUAUGGUCAUACAUUUCUACAAAUUGACUCAUUGUUGAUAGAGGAUGGUAACAAUAGACAUUUUUAAUAGAGCCACCCUGAUAUCUCAUGGGAUUGAGACAACAUAUCCCAUUGUGUGAUCUAAAGGACAUGUGAUCAUGAAAUAUGUUAUCGCAAUAAGUCAUUUAGUGGAAUUUGACAUGUACUUUUUAAAGGUAGAGUAUGUUAAUUGAUCACAUAAUAGGAGAAUUUGUAACUUCAAGAUUGAAAAGGUAAUCUUGAUGGGUUAAUAACACUACCCUGUUAGAUUAUGGAUAUCAAUUCAUAGAAAGUUUGCAUGUAAUGAAUAGUAGGUCAUAGACUCGAGCUUUAUUUUGUUGGAAUUUCAUAGGAUAUUGGAGUGUAGUUGACUUCUUUUUAGUAAAGUGUUGAGUUAACUUUAUAAUUGGAUUUUGAGAAAGCUAACAUUUUCCUAUAGGUUCCAAUGGUCCUUGCUCGAGCUCCUAUUUCAUGGUGACACAUUUGAGAGUAUUUUGGGUAUAUAGUUCAUAAGUAUACAUAAAUGUGCUUUGGUAAAAACACAAGGUUGCACUAAAUCUUAUGAAUUGACUUUCUUAAAUGGGUUAAUUAAUUAAUUGGAGCUCAUUAGGGACAAUUAAUUAAUUCGAACCUAAGUGGGUUAGAUUAGGUGUUCCAAACCCAAUUUGAACUCAAGCCACUUAAGCCCAUAGGAAAGCCUAUAUAAACCCUAGGGUUUCGGUUUUCCUAUUCAAUUUUCUAAAAUUCCAAGAAGAAGAACCAUAGCCACCCUCAAAGAGAGAGAAAGAACUUAACCUUCUCUUGUGUCAGGAUUCGUGGAGGGAGAAAUUGUUAGGAUAAAACCCUUAAAAGCAUGAUAUGAUGUAACAAAUUUUAUUUAUUAUAUGAUAUUUUAGUUUUACUUUUAUUUAUCUUUGUUUUAUGCAUUACACUUUAUAAGUAUUCUCGUUAAGCAUCUCUUACAUUAUACAUGAUUUAAGUGCAUUAGAAGUUUUAUAGAAUAUCCAAGUCAUGGAUUUCUUACAAAUAGAUGAUUUGUUCACAACCAAUUCAUGGACUUAGGUAAUCCAUUUGAGGUUGUAUUGCACUACCUUCUAAUUUGACAGAUGAUUGAUCUUGGCCAUCGAGAUAAAUUUUCCAUAGUAAAUGCAAUAGUGUGUAUGACAUCUCAAGGGAGACAAAGUGUCUCAUUGAGUGAUCCUAAAGAGGUAUGUUCAUGAAAACUAUGACCAUAAUAGUUUCUUAAGUGGAACUUGAUAUUAGCUCUUAGAGAUUAAGACAUGUCAAUUGAAUAUAUAAUAAGAGGAUUUGUAACUCAAAGAUGGUAAAGGUAGUCUUGAAAGGCUAAUGGUUUUCACUUUGUUAGGCCACAACACCAACUCAUAGGGGAAUGAACGCAAUGGAUAAUAAGUCAUAGACCGGAGCACAUAGUGUUUCAUUGUUAUUUAACAUAGAAUACUUGAGUUCAAUUAAUUCUUUGUAGUAAGAUGUUGAGUCAACUUUAAAAUUAAAUUUUGAGAGAAUCAAUAAUCCUGUGGGUCCUAGUGGUCCCCAUUUUGAGUUCAUAUGCCUUGUUGGCAUGGGUUAUGAGAGUUGGAUUGGCUCUAGAUUCACUUUUAUCUAAUGUUCGUAUAGUAGCAUUACAACCCCUUUAUGGCUCUAUAGCAAGAAAUUUUAUAUUCUGUUAUAGAAAGCCCCUCACAUAAAUUACUUUAUAUGGGUAAAUAAUAAUUUGUCCUUGGGGAUCUGAUAUUAAUCCUCUCAUACCUACUAAUUGGUGUACCUAAGAUGCAUUUCCUUUAGUUCCUGAAAAAGACAUUAUAUGGACUAGAUUAAAUGGGCCAGUCAUCUUAAAAUUAGUAUUCAUUUCUUGUCACAAAUAUUCACUUAACACAUAUUAGAUCUCAAUAAAGUGAAAAAAAAAAGACAAAAAGAAAGAAAAAAAAAGGAAUAAUAUUCCAAAAGGUGUUGUUCGUGGAUCAUCUUCGAGAGAGUUAGGAUAUAAUGGUACUGAGCUUUCUCGUUCACAAGAGAUAGGGGUAGUCUUAACUGGUAUUGCUUGCAUUGACAAGGACAAUUGAUUACUACCAAAAAGUGCUAUUUUGUAGACCUAAUUAUAAUGGUUUUAAGCACCUUUGAGUAGUAAUCAUAUUCAUUUAACCCAAUUAAUUCAUUAAGGUCCUUAGUAAUUGGUUUUAACCAUUUUGUGGCAAGUUUACAUGUUUUUAUCAGCUUAUGAAUCAAUUCAAGCAUGCCAAAUGAUGGAGGAGCUACUUGGACAAGUUAUGGCAAAGCUUUUGGAAGCUCAAAUUCAUGAAGAACCAAGCUUUGGAGCUUCAUAGCCCUUUGCCAAAGUCGUUCAAAGUAUGCAAGGAAAGAACAAUGGAGAAGAGGAAAACAGAGGACAGCAUCUGCAGUCUUCUUUCGCACUUUUGGAGCACUUCCCGAAGUCCAUUUUUUACAUACUAUAUACCAUUUCAAAGCUCUGGAAGUCAAGAAUCCAACGCUUCAAACCGUGCACGAUUUGGAGUUGAAAUGAGGAAGAUAUGGCCUUCGGAAGCCAACUGCUCCAGGUUAUGCGAAAAUUUCGCAUUCCACAAGGUGUUAUGCGAAAUUCGCAUAACACCUUCAAAAUUCGCAUAACCCAUGCGUGUUGCGAAUUUUCCUCUGCCUUUGCCGACUCCACUUUAGAUAUUUUCCUUUGUAUUUUGUGAUGUAAUUUCCUUUCUUAUCCUUGUAACUAACCAAUCACAAGCUUUUGCUUUUGCUUUUGUAAAGACUUUAUAAGGGGUGGAAAUCACCUCUUGAAGAAUAUAGAACAUAGGUUACGUUUUACACUUAAAAUAUACAGAGCUCUCCCGUUUCUAUUUUCUUAGUAGCCAAACAGCCUCUAAGGGCUUUUCCUCAGAGGAUGAUUGGCUAAAACUUUUAGUUUCUCAAAGUAUGGAUGUUAUGUGAUGGCUUGGAUGCAAUCCCAUGGAAAUUUCUCGCGCUCGGAAGGUAAGGUAGUCAUUUUUCAUUAAAGGUUCAUUAAUGCAAAGUUUGGUUUUUAUUUCCUUUGGACAACUUCCAACGGCCAAUACUUGAUAAGCUUUUGGAUUUCUAUCCAUUAGUUAUCUCCUACGAGCUAUUGGAAGGUGAGGUUUUCAAUUCCAAGUUUUUCAUUAAUCCGUUAAAACCAAUUUCAAUGGCCAUUGAAAGGUGAGUUUAUCACCUAAAAUGACUUUGAGUUGCCAAUAUUUGGUAAGCUUUUGGCUUUAGACCAUUAGUUAUCUCUUACGAGCCAUUCAAAGGAAGUCUAAGGCGAAUAACCAUUGAUGAAAUUCACUACCAUCUGUUUUGCCAUUUUAAAGGAUUAAAACUUGAUUUGCUAAAUCCAUACUAGUUCGGGAAGCAAGCAUCACCAUAGUUACAACCCCAACGCGAGGAGCCUAUCCUGAGAUUUCCAAUUUGCAUAAGAGCCAGAGCAUAGCUAUCUUAUCUUUGAGAAACUUGUUUUUACACCCUUUCAUUUUAGUCUUUAAUGUUAGCUUAGAUUAGUUUAAAUCUUUCUAAAACAUUUACAUCUUCUUUUAAAGCUAACAUCCAUAAAGAAAAUCACCUAUUUUCCUAAUUUGAAUAUCACUAGUGUUUGCGAAAACCCUUCCCAGUGAACGAUCCUAGAACCACUAUGCUAUAGUAGCUUGGCUACUUUAGUAAUAGUAUUUAAGGUAUAAAUUUUGUUGAUACGCCUUUAAAGCUAAGCUACCAUGAGUCGAAUCAACAAUCUUUAUCUUGUCACUAGGGAAGCUAUGGUUGACGCUACAAAAAGUGUUGGGUUUGCUCAGUGAUUGUAUCAACACUUAUCAAGUGUUAGUGAUGAAUAAUCCACAAUGCUCUUUCUUUAACGGAUUGCUUAAUGGGAUGCCAAUGAGGAUUUUGGUUUGGAAUUGUAAAGAAACGAGAAAUGAGGAUUUUCUCGGGGUGAUUAGAGACCUCAUCUAUGUGCAUGACCUGGUGAUCCUAGUGUUGGUUGAGACUAGAAUAAGUGGUGAGUGGUUUAAAAUGCUCUUAGUUAAUUCAAAAGAUUAAGUGAGAGAAGAGCCCUAGGUAAGCCCACGGUCUCCAUGGUUGAAUCCAUCUUAAUUUGGGUUCAUCACCACCCGACUAGUGGGUUGUACCCUAAGAAUCAAGGGAUAUGGACAAGACUACAUAUGUCUAUAGUGGGAGCAACCAACCCUAUGGUGAGGUUCAUUACUUAAUGACAUUGAUAGUUCAACAACAAUGAUUAUACACUUAACAUUGGAUAUGAAGUGGUUGAAUCAUCCAUCACGGUCCCAUUUGCAUAGUUUAUGAGCCAAAGGUAUGUUGAUCUUGCCUUAGAUACCUUUCAUGAUUAAAUUAAAGUAAGGAAAUCAAUCUGAGAGGGUCAACUACUAGUAAUAAGGUUACUUGCUUUGAUUUUUCUAAUAAGAAGAUACAUUACAAAAAGAUCUAUAGUCCUAAGAGCUUUACAUUUUUAAUAAAUUAUGUUUGCCUUGAAUGCUCAAUUAUGUUAUACUUAUUGUUGUUUUCUUUGUUAUAGAUAUCAUACACUUUGUUUUCUUAUCACUCUCUUUCUCACUUUGGACUAAGCCUAACCGAUCAUUUGGAUUAAAAAUAAUUUAAGUAGAGUUAGUUAUUCCUUAAUUGAGCUAAUGCUAAGGUUUUUAGUGGCACUAACCUGUGAGUGAAACCUUAAGGUUGUCACAUAUUCUAUAUGUAUUAGGUCAUUAUUGAUUAAGGCAAGUGAUAACAAGUAUUCUUAAGAUAGACACCAUGAUAUCUUAUGGGUUUGAGGCAAUGCGUCUCCUUGUGUAAUCCUAUGAAUAUAUGAUCAAGAAAACGAUGACUAUAAUAUUUGCUUUAUUGAAAUUUGACAUAUGCUUUUAAAGAGGAGUAUGUCAAUUAAUCACAUAAUAGGAGGAUAUGAGACUCAAGGAUUGUUGAUGUAAUCUUGAGAGGCUAAUAGCAUUCACCUCAUUAGAUUACAAACACCACUUCAUUAAGAUCUUACAUACAAUGGUUAGUGGGUCACAAAUUCGAGUUUCAUAUUUUAAGUUAAUAUCAUGGAAUACUAAAGUGUGGUUAAUUCUAUAUAGUAGGAUGUUGAGUUAACUUCAAAAUUGGAUUUUAAGGAGCAAAUAUUUUCCUUUAGGUUCUAGUGGUCCUUUUUUCGUACUCAUGUUUCUUGGUGGCAUAUUAUUUAAGAGAUAUUUGGGUUUUUUAUUCAUAAAAAUGCAUAAAGGUAUUUUGAUAAAUACAUAAGAGCUUAUAAGUGGUCUUUUAAGAUUAAGUUAAUUAAUUAAUUAGAACUCGGUCAGGCUAAGUAAUUAAUUAUGAUCUACUAUGUUAGAUUAAGUAACCCAACCCCAAGAUGACCUCAAGUCUCUUAAGCCCAUAAAUGAGUCUAUAUAACCUCCUUGAUCAGACAUACUCUUGUAUAUUUGUCAUUCAUUCUUCUAGAGAGAAAGGAACCCUAACCUCCAUCCCUAUGAAGAAGAUUUCACCUUCCUCACAUGCCAAGAUCCAAGAGAGAGAGAGAGAGAGAGAGAGAGAGUCAUUAGGUAGAAGAUCGCAAGUCUUCAAAAUCCACACCAACCUCUUCACUCUAGAAUCAAUUUGAGAACAUCCAAAUUGCAGGUAUUGCUUUCAUACUCAUGAUUCUUUAGUUUUUUUACAUGUAUAUGCUUCCAUUGUGCAAAUGCAGAGAUCCUUAAUUUUGCAUGCACUCUAAUAAUCUAAGGCAUGAAUGAUUUUUUUCUAGUCAUUCCUACACAUUGCUAAUUUUAUUGGACUAAUGUGGCAUAGAUCAUGUUAGAAGAUGUCUCAUCACACAAUUUUCUAGGUAAUGAUGCUAAAUAGACAGUGGAAUAUUGAUUUGACUUCUCCAUCAAUGGAUUAGACCUAAAUGAUACUCUUUCACUUAGUUUAUUGAUUUGAACUCAAGAAAUAGAAACCAAUUGUAAUAUUCACUCCCUAAUUAGAAUCUAUUAUAGUGGCCUACGUAGCUUUCGCCAUCUAAGCUCCUAUGAUUCCCAUGAUAAGAUUCUAUAUAUUUUUGCAAUAAAAGUCAUCUUUCUUAAUUGCCUUAUUUCUUUUAGUAUGUCGAAACUAAUUUUCAUUUUAAAAAUCUUAUUUUUAAGAAUAGUUCUUUCCUAACUAAUUUUCUCAUAUUAGGAUACUUAUUUCAUUAAUUGUUACAAAGAAAAUGAGAAAAAAGGUUGAAUUUGAAAAUGGCAAUUUAAUCACAACAAAAGCAAAUAAGAGGCUCACAUCCUUCCGCAAAUGUUAAUUUUCCGAAUCUAAUGACAAACUACAAGAGCAACACCUCUGCUUUAUCCCCAUUCAACAUAGAGGUGUCCAAUGGGCCAAGCCGCCCACUUUGGCUCAUGGCCUGACACGCCAAAAGACUAGGUCGAGCCGACACGACCCAAAGGAGCGGGUUGUGUUGGGCCAAAGGAAACAGCAUAUUGGCCUACUGUGCGACCCACCUAGCCUUUUUAAAUUUCACUUUUUACUUUUUACUUUUUCCUUUUUAUUGCAUGUCAAAUAUCUAUAAUACCCCUCUCAACAACUAUAACAAGUUUGAGGGGUAAAAAAGUAAAUCAAUAGCUAUUUUUACUUUUUUCAUGUCAAAUUAUUAUUUUUUAUAUUUCAUUUCCUUUUAUAUUCUAUUAUUUUAAAUUUAUUGUUAUUUUGAUUAAAAAAAUAAACAAAUUCAAAUGUAUAUUUUUUUUACUAUUUUUAAAAACAAAAAACUAACAUUUCUAUAAAUUUUACAAUUACAAACUCGAUAAAUAUAAAUAUAAAUAUAAAAAAUAAAAAGUAUAAUUAUUAGAGGUGUUUAAAGUAACAAAAAGAAAUUUUAUUUAAUAAUGAAAAAAACAUAAGACAAAAUGACUUAAAAAAAUUAAAUUAAAAUUUUUAACAAAGUGAGUGACCCAUGAGCCACGAGCCGCCAGCAUGACAUAAUUACUCCACAGGCUUAUGGGUCAUGCCGGGCCACCUAUUUAGCAUGCAUGGGCCGGCCCGGCCCGGCACAAUUUUAAAGUGGGUUGUGCUGACCUGACGCAUUGGCCCGUUAUGGCCCGGUGGCCGGCACGGCCCAUUGGACACCUCUAAAUUUCAACAUAGUGGCUUGCAUACACAGUCAGUGAUACACAGCCAGUGAAUUUUUUGGUAAAAUUUUUUUAAGCCUUCAGGUACUAGAGAUUGAAUAGAACAUUCAAACUACAACAAGGAUAAAUAUUAUAAAUAGAAGAUUUACAGCCAGGUAUAAAGAGCAUAACUAGAAAGCGGAUAAAACAAAAAGAAAGUACCCCACAAAACAGUGACAACUGAUGGGUUUGAGAAGGAAAAAGGGGAGCCUCUUCCCAAUCCCAAGCUAAUCUCUGUAUUGCUAAUCAUCUCCACUGCACAAAAGAAUAUUAUUUAAUUAAAAAAAAAAAAAAAUACAAGGCAUUAGCCCCAGACCGGUGUAUUCCUUCCAUACUAUGUUGCUGCUCCUAAAAGAGCAGUUCCCGAUCCAUUGCCGCUAUCAAGAAAGCUGCUAGAUUCAGGCUGUGAAAGAGAGACAGAGGGGGGUAGGGAGAUGUUCAGUCCAUAAGAAUACAGUAUUAAUAUUAAAUAAGAUUAUGCUUGCUACAAACUAAAAAUAAUGUCAAAAUUUAGCGAUAAACUUUAUGAUUUUUCUAGGGAUAUCAAAAGCCAAAACACAUUGCGUCCCCAACUGCACAGCUUCUUUGACAGGGGCAUGCAACCUUUUAAAUGGAAAAAUUUCCUAGACAUGGCCCCAAGACUAAGUUUAUGUCUAUCAAGACAGUAUAAUGGGUUUAUUGGUUUUAGGCACAGGGGCAGAAUAUGGGAGAUCCAAUUCAAGUAAUUGUUUCUGUCACAUGAAGGACUAUUGUUAUAGAAAGUACAAAUUUGGGAAGGUUAGGGGAAGUUAUACAAGAUAUGCGAAAAACUCUGAAAGUGAAAAUCAUCGACCAACAACAUUGUAAUCACAAAGUAUCAAAACUUUAGGAAGCAUUUGCUUUGUGGGAAUAGAGAAUGAAAAUAGGAAAUGCAUUCAAUUUCCCAUUCAUUAUUGUGUUUAGAUUCAAAUUCAUUCAAUUUCUUAUUCAUUAGUGUUUGGAUUCCUUAUGAGAAAUGGAAAUAGGAAUAAAAACUCAUUAUCAUGGAAACCAAAAGCCACUAUUUCUAUUUUGAUUCCUCUCUUCCUCAUGGUACAGUUAUUCACCUCCAUUUCAUUUUGUACUCCUAUUUCUAUUCAUGUGUACCAAAUGCACUCUAAAUGGUAAAGGUUCAAUUGAAAAAAAUUUCAUUCCAUCCUCUCAAAUAUUGAAAUAAUGUCUAUACGUGGUCCAACUUUCAAAUUGUUUGUAACUGUACCUCUUUCUCAUGGACUUUUGAAAGGAAAAAUGGCUCUGUCUCCCGAAUCCCACCAUUCUCUUCAACAAUUCUUUCUAAAUCCUGCUAAUGUGAUGAAAAGUUAAAUAUAAUAAUAACAUUAUGCUAUUUGAAAGUCUUCUAAUUCCUGGAAACACAAUAACCAAGUCAAAAAGGUAUUAUACCAAUUAAAACCCAGGCACAAAGUUUUACUACCAAAUGCAAGAUAACUACAAGAUUCAUGAACUGGAGAUUACACAUGCAAACAAGGUUUACCAGAACAACCAACAACAAAAAGUGCUAGAACACCGCAAUGAAUGAUGUAGAUAAUCAUCUACAUAAAUAAAUGUUAUAAUGGCAAUGCAUAUAUAAAUCCACAAGCAAUGAUGACAAUAGUGUAUUUUACCUGGACUCUACCAACUUCACUCAAUGCAUCUAUGUUGACACAACAUGACAUUGUGUGCAUCUGCAUCUCAACCAUUCUAAUCUAACUAGGUUGGGAUUUAAUUGGAAUUUGUUUCUUUUUUUGUACAGUUGAUUCACUUUUGAUUUAUUUCCUGCAAUUAGGACUGAUUUAGAAGAGUAAUUCUGGGCUUAGAAUAGAUUGAUUGCCUUUUCUCUUUUCCUUUCUAAAACAUUAUAAAUAGGUUGUAAAUAUAUCCAUGAAUAUACACGUAUUAUUCAGAAAUCGUUAUCCAUUUUCAAGUUCUUAUGAAAGAUAACUUUGCUUGAUUUCUAAUUGAUUUUUCUUUUUCUUCCUUCUUUUCUUUUAUUUUGUUGUAUUCAAUGUCCAUAACCAUUAUGAGAUCCUUUUUAGCUAAGUCUCAUAUCCUAAAAUUUGUAGAUGUGAAGGAUCAGACAAUUAGUCAUAUACCCAUACUUGACACCACACUCGAGCCCAUGCAAUAGAUAAUAAUAAUAAAAUGCAUGAUCCAAACACAAGCAUAGGAACCAUUCCACCCAUAUCUAAAUGGUGAGGGAAGGCAUGCUAAACAAUGUCCCAUUUAGUUGCCCGCGUGUCCAAGCAUUCACUACCAUAUAUAACAUGGCAUGCAAUAGUAAAUUAGAUGAUAGUGUAAUCAAUGACUACCUAUCAAACAUUAAGCAAACAAUUUUCUGCAUAGAAGAAAACACUGAUGAGAACUUCAUAAUGUGAAACCUAUUUCUACCAUGACAAAAACAAGCACAACAAAAAUGAAAAAGGUGAAGACUUAAUUAUGUUAUGCACAUGAAUUAGUUAAAUCUGAAGAAGACUAUCAACAAUUGACCAAUAUUUGAUCACAAUCUUUUCUUUGUUUUUUUUCUUUGAUAUGCAAUUAGAAAUCUAUAAACAAUGCCUAGCAAAAAAAGGGAUGCACCCCAUGCACACUGGAAAUAUAAAAUGGGAACCACAAGCUUACAAAAUAAGGAAUUUCUUUAUCUUAUAAGUCCAGGAAAACAUUCACAAUUCACCACUUUCAAUACAUUUCUAAAACAACAAAAUAACAGGGUAGCAAUUACAACAUUGAUUACAAACCCAUGUGAUUCUACUCUUCACAUCAGCUCCAAAACAUUCACAAUUGAUCGUCGUCAAUUCAUUUCAAAGACAACAAAAUUACCGGGGUAGUGAUUACGACAUUAAUCACAAAUUAAAGAGUGUGUUGAGGCAAGGCUCCUAGAGAGCGUGUAUGGGUGUUAGACGAUACACAUGCAUACAUAUACAGAGGACAAGAGAUAGAAGAUACUUUUCCCCUGAAGUGAGUGUGGACAGUUUGAUUUAUUUCUGUUGAAUAUAAUGUAUUUAUAGUGUACAAUCUUUCUUUCCUUUCUUAAUAUAGGUCACAUAUAUGGUAGUUAGUUCAACCUAGCCUUAUAUAUAUAUUUCUCUAUUGUAAGAAGUUAAUUAUAUGAAUGAGAAUUAAGGUUUUCUCUCUCUCUCUUUCAACAUGGUAUCAGAGUCAAGGGAGAAAACUUUAUUCUUUCUGGUUUACCCGUGUAAUUAAUUCCGGGAAUCCAUCCAGUGACCGUGUUUCAUUCCGGUCACCUUUUCCAUCUCCCAAAACUUUCCGGUCAACCAUAUCGUGGACAGAAAACCCUCAUCACCGUCAACAUUUUUCCGGCAAUAUUUUCCAGAGACUUUCCCGGGCUCUUUUUUUUCCCAACGAUAUUUUCCGACACCGACCACAUCAUCAGGAGCGCAAAGAGGAGAUAUGCAACUUUUCUCAAAGCACCGGAGCCAAAAACCAAUCCACGCGCCUUCCACGUGCCUUUUUUCUCCGGAGGCCUGAAUCCCACGCGUCGGCGCAUGAGGGCGCGUGGCCCACUUUCUAGUGCCGAGCUUCUACUAGUAGGCUCAUCCGGCGCCGUCUUGCACUUCUAAGCCUCUGUCAGUCCUCUCUGAACCCUGCUUCUCCAUUUUAUUUUUUUGUUGGCAUUUCAAUCUCCAUGGGUCUUCUUUCAGCCUCCUCCGGCCUCCAACGGCAGCUCCCUUCCUUGGCCGAGACCUGUGUGUGCCUUAGGAAGGCCUCUUCUUCAUCUCCAGUCACUUUUCUCCUUUGUUUGGGUCCCGACAUACCAAGUUCUUCUUCCACAGCUGUGAUCCGACCUCCCUUUAGGGCUCUCUUCGAUCCAAACGUGAUUCAAUCUCAGGUGAAGUGGAUAUGGUGACUAAAAAUCCUAUUUUUACAUCCGUCAUCUCUGGAUCUCCUACUAUCACAUCGGAAAAAUUGAUUGGUAGUGAGAAUUAUCUCUCCUAGUCAGCGUCCGUGGAACUCUGGUUUAUGGGAUAAGGUUAUGAGGAUCAUCUUGUUACACCUAAGAAUGCUAUACCUGAUGUUGACAAAGUGCAAUGGAAGAAAAUCAAUGCACAAUUAUGCAGCGUAUUAUGCCAAUCUGUUGAUCCCAAAAUUUUACAUCAUCUUCGUGCCUACAAAACCUGCUUUAAAUUUUGGACUCCGGCUAAAAGGAUUAUACACGAAUGAUAUUCAACGAUUUUAUAAGGUGGUUUCUGAUAUUGUUCAUGUGAGACAGCAGGACAUGGAUUUGUCUACUUAUAUUGGCCGGAUUGCGUCUCUUAAGGAGGAGUUCUUAACUUUGAUGCCCUUCACUAAUGGUGCCGAAGCUCAACAAAUACAGAUUGACAAGUUCUUUAUGCUGUUAACCCUCAUUGGCCUCCGUCCAGAUCUUGAGUCUGUCCGAAAUCAGAUUCUUGCUAGUCCAUCAAUACCAUCACUAGAUGAUGUGUUCGCUCAUCUCUUAGGCCUCUCCUCUACUCAGACCUUGUCGACUGAUGACCCUUCAGAUUCAUCUGUGUUAGCCUCUCAAACUAACUCUCAAGGAGGACGUAGUAGCAAUCGGGGUUGUGGACAACAUCCUCAAUGCACCUAUUGUAAUAAGCUUGGUCACACUCGAGAUCGUUGCUAUCAGUUACAUGGACGGCCUCCUCACACUGCCCACAUUGCUCAGUCAUCUGAUCCUCUGCUAUCUCAACCUGACUCCGCUGCGAGCUCCACAUAUCAGAGUAUCACCCUUACUGGUAGUGAUUAUGAUGCCUAUCUCCAAUAUCAGGCAGCCACAUCAGCUUCUAUUGCUUCUGUUGCCCAGACCAGUAAUGUCUCUAUCUGCUUUACUCAGUCUCCUUCUCUUGGCCCAUGGAUUCUAGAUUCUGGAGCAUUUGAUCAUAUCUUUGGUAAUAAACACCUUUUCUCCUCUAUUACUACUACAUCUGCCUUACCUACUGUUACUUUAGCUAAUGGUUCCCAAACUAUGGCUAAAGGUAUUGGUUUGGCUCAUCCUCUCCCUUCCCUACCUCUCCAUUCUGUCCUUUAUACCCUUGAGUGUCCUUUUAAUCUCAUUUCCAUUAGCAAAAUAACUCGCACUCUUAACUGUUCUAUCACUUUUUAUGAUAAAUCUGUGAUCUUGCAGGAUCGGAGUACGGGGAAGACGAUUGGCAUAGGGCGUGAGUCUCAAGGCCUCUAUCACCUCACAUCACCUUCAUCUCCUGCAGCUUGCAUUUCCACCGAUGCUCCUCUUCUCAUUCACAGUCGUCUGGGUCAUCCUAGUCUCUCCAAAUUCCAAAAGAUGGUCCCUCGUUUUUCCACUUUGUCGUCGCUUGCAUGUGAGUCGUGUCAGCUUGGGAAACAUACUCAUGUCUCGUUCCCCAAGCGUUUGAAUAAUCAGGCAAAGUCUCCUUUUGAACUUAUCCACACUGAUGUUAGGGGUCCGUGUCAGACCGUGUCUACUUCAGGAUUUCAGUAUUUUGUCACUUUCAUUGAUGACUAUUCAAGAUGUACUUGGCUAUUUUUAAUGAAAAAUCGAGCUGAGUUAUUCUCUAUUUUCCAGAAAUUUUAUGCUGAAAUCCAAACACAAUUCAAUGUUUCUAUUCGAGUGUUACGCAAUGACAAUGCUCAGGAAUAUUUUUCUACACCCUUUACUUCUUUUAUGUCCCAACAUGAGAUCCUCCAUCAGUCAUCUUGUGCUCAUACUCCUCAACAAAAUGGGGUUGCUAAACGUAAAAAUCGACAUCUUGUUGAGACAGCUUGUACCCUCCUUCUCCAUAGUCAUGUUCCUUUUCGUUUUUGGGGGGAUGUUGUUCUUACAGCCUAUUACUUGAUUAAUCGUAUGCCCUCAUCUAUAUUACAUGACCAAAUCCCUCAUUCCCUCAUUUUUCCUACCCAACCUCUUUAUUUCCUUUCUCCUUGUGUCUUUGGUUGUAUUUGUUUUGUUCAUACUCUCACACCUGGACAGGAUAAGCUCUCCGCCAAGGCUACGAAAUGCACCUUCUUAGGAUACCCUCGACUUCAGAAGGGCUAUCGUUGUUAUUCCCCCGACACUCAUCGUUAUUUUCUCUCCGCUGAUGUCACCUUCUUUGAGGACUCUCCAUUCUUCUCAUCCUUUGAAUCUCUUCCCAUUUCUGAAGUAUUGUCACUUCCCUAUAUAUUCCUCCCUUCAGAUGCGCUCUCUCGUCCUCUUCAGGUUUAUCAUCGUCGACAUCGUGUUGUUGCUCUUCCUCUCUCUUUAGCUGAGGUACCUAAUGACUCACCUUCUGUCCCACCGAUUUCUCCUACCCCAGCCCUAUCAUCUACUGACCAUUUGCCUAUUGCUCUUCGGAAAGGUAAUCGAUCUACUCGUAAUCCUCAUCCUAUUUAUAAUUUUUUGAGCUACCAUCGAUUAUCUUCAUCCUAUUCUACCUUUGUCCCUACUUUAUCCUUUGUUUCUCUUCCUAAGAGCACUAGUGAGGCACUUUCUCAUCCUGGGUGGCGACAGGCAAUGGUUGAUGAAAUGGCUGCUCUGCACUCCAAUGGCACAUGGGAUCUUGUUUCUUUACCUCCUGGUAAAUCUACAGUUGGAUGUCAUUGGGUCUACACUAUUAAAGUUGGUCCUGAUGGUCAGGUUGAUCGCCUUAAGGCCCGCUUGGUUGCUAAAGGUUAUACUUAGAUUUAUGGUUGUGACUAUGGUGACACCUUCUCUCCUAUUGCCAAGAUUGCUUCUGUUCGCUUAUUUCUAUCCAUGGCAGCUAUGUGUCAUUGGCCUCUUUAUUAGUUGGAUAUUAAGAAUGCCUUCCUUCAUGGUGAACUUCUCGAGGAAGUGUAUAUGGAGCAACCACCUGGUUUUGUUGCUCAGGGGGAGUCUGGUUUAUGGGACAAGGUUAUGAGGAUCAUCUUGUUACACCUGAGGAUGCUAUACCUGAUGUUGACAAAGUGCAAUGGAAGAAAAUCGAUGCACAAUUAUGCAGUGUAUUAUGGCAAUCUCUAUAUGGCUUGAAACAAUCUCCUCGGGCAUGGUUUGGGCGUUUUAGUUCAGUUGUUCAAGAGUUUGGAAUGCUUCGGAGUGAAGCAGAUCAUUCAGUUUUCUAUCAUCAUAACUCUUCGAGCCAGUGCAUCUAUUUGGUAGUUUAUGUGGAUGACAUUGUCAUUACAGGCAGUGAUCAGGAGGGUAUCCAAAGACUAAAGCAACACCUUUUCAACCACUUUCAAACCAAAGACUUGGUCAAACUCAAGUACUUUCUGGGACUUGAAAUAGCUCAAUCCAGUUCAGGUGUGGUUAUGUCACAAAGGAAGUAUGUCUUAGACAUCUUGGAAGAAACAGGUAUGUUAGAAUGUAAACCUGUUGACACUCCUAUGGAUCCAAAUGUCAAACUUGUACCAGGACAGGGGAAGCCUCUAAGAGAUCCUAGGAGAUAUUGACGACUUGCAGGUAAACUGAACUACCUCACCAUCACUCGGCCAGACAUCUCUUUUCCUGUGAGUGUGGUUUAGUCAAUUUCUACAGUCACCAUGUGACAACCAUUGGGAUGCUGUGAUCCGCAUUCUUCAAUAUAUUAAAGGAACACCAAGCCAAGGUAUGUUGUGUGAAGACAGGGGUCAUACCCAAAUUGUUGGUUACAUAGAUGUAGACUAGGCUGGUUCACCCUCAGAUAGGCGUUCCACCUCAGGGUAUUGUGUUUUUAUUGGAGGUAACUUAAUAUCCUGGAAGAGUAAGAAACAAGAUGUAGUGGCCAAAUCAAGCGCCGAAGCUAAGUACCGAGCUAUGACUUUGGCAACAUGUGAACUCAUAUGGUUGAGGCAACUCCUUCAGGAAUUGAGAUUUGAAAAAAAUGAACAGAUAAAGCUAGUCUGUGACAAUCAGGCCGCAUUACAUAUUGCAUCCAGUCCAGUCUUUCAUGAAAGGACCAAACAUAUUGACGUUGACUGUCACUUCAUUAGAGAGAAGAUCGCAUCAGGGUGUGUUGCUACAAGUUUUGUUAAUUCAAAUGAUCAACUAGCAGACAUCUUCACUAAAUCUCUCAGAGGUCCUAGGAUUAAAUGCAUUUGUAACAAGCUUGGUGCAUAUGACAUAUAUGCUCCAACUUGAGGGGGAGUGUUGAAUAUAAUGUAUUUAUAGUGUACAAUCUUUCUUUCAUUUCUUAAUAUAGGUCACAUAUAUGGUAGUUAGUUCAACCUAGCCUUGUAUAUAUAUUUCUCUAUUAUAAGAAGUUAAUUAUAUGAAUGAGAAUUAAGGUUUUCUCUCUCUCUCUUUCAACAACUUCAUAUUGUUCUAUCCUAUACAAGCAAGGGUUUCCAUCUUAUCAUCUUUACAACGAAAUAAUUUAUAAUCACACCAUACAGAAAAGUGAACAUGUGCGCAAACCAUGAUAUAAGCAAGAGAUAGGGUGAAAGAGAGUGGAAGUGAGAGGGUGAGGUAGGGAAAAAAGAGGGGAUACUUUUCUCCCAAAGUGAAAGUGGAUAGUCCUCUGCUCAAGUCAAGCCUUGAUUGAUUUCAUCAUGUUUUAUCCCAAACAAGCAAAGUUGCCAUUUUAUCAUCCUAACUACUAAAUAAUUGGCAAUCACACUAUACAGAAAAGUGAGCAUAUGGCACAAGCAGAAUGCAAGCAAGAGCGUGGUUAAUAUGGCCUAAGCAUAGAUUUGAAAGCACUUGGAGAAACCAGAAGAAAGAAAAUACAGUACCAAAAGUACAUUGCAUCAGGAGAAGUAAAUGCCUGUUGGAAAUUGAUAUUAGGUUGAAAAAAAAAAUAUUACUAGCUAUUUUUAUUUAAACAGAUCAUGGCUAAAAGCUCUCUUUACCUUCCCUGUCAAGAUUUCAAACUCAAGCAGCUCUUCCACAACCUUCUCAAGCACACGGCGGUUUUUCUGAAGCAUUUCUUUUGCUCUAUCAUAUGCUAAAUAAUACAUCUGCAUAAUACCAAGCAUCUAAUGAAGAAGGUUCUCUCCCAAUAUCAAACUAGUUGUAAGAAAAUUGGUGGAGUUAGGUUCCUUAUAUUAGAGCUCAAGAGUUAUCUGUAUAUUAAAAACACUGGAGCACAUAAUGUACUGCUGCAACAUAUACAAACCUUUUCAAUUUUGGCUGCCACCUCGUACUCAUGGUUGUUUCCCAUACUCAAAGCACUAACCUGUGUCAGUGAACAAAAAUAUUCAACAUGAACAAUCUAGCAGCAGACUGACAAA
rnacentral:lncRNA from 1 species